rnacentral:rRNA from 1 species
AGAUUGAACGCUGGCGGCAGGCCUAACACAUGCAAGUCGAGCGGCAGCACGGGUACUUGUACCUGGUGGCGAGCGGCGGACGGGUGAGUAAUGCCUAGGAAUCUGCCUGGUAGUGGGGGAUAACGCUCGGAAACGGACGCUAAUACCGCAUACGUCCUACGGGAGAAAGCAGGGGACCUUCGGGCCUUGCGCUAUCAGAUGAGCCUAGGUCGGAUUAGCUAGUUGGUGAGGUAAUGGCUCACCAAGGCGACGAUCCGUAACUGGUCUGAGAGGAUGAUCAGUCACACUGGAACUGAGACACGGUCCAGACUCCUACGGGAGGCAGCAGUGGGGAAUAUUGGACAAUGGGACGAAAGCCUGAUCCAGCCAUGCCGCGUGUGUGAAGAAGGUCUUCGGAUUGUAAAGCACUUUAAGUUGGAGAAGGCAGUUACCUAAUACGUAUCUGUUUGACGUACGACAGAAUAAGCACGCUAACUCUGU